rnacentral:sRNA from 1 species
UCGGACUGCCAGGCCUGGAAAGUUCUGUGUGUCCAUGGGACAGGUAGAAAACAAGGAGUAGCAAUGCCAGCAUGCCCAAACUGCCCUCUUCAUGGGUCUUCUCCCUCACCCGAAGUAACCACCUCGGGAGACGCGAGGAUCAUUUCUAGGCCACUUAGCAUCUGGUCUCUCCCUUAG